GUGGGCAGUUUGACUGGGGCGGUCGCCUCCUAAAAGGUAACGGAGGCGUGCAAAGGUUCCCUCAGGCUGGUCGGACAUCAGUCGUAGAGUGUAAAGGCAUAAGGGAGCUUGACUGCGAGACAUACAAGUCGAGCAGAGACGAAAGUCGGCCUUAGUGAUCCGACGGUUCCGAGUGGAAGGGCCGUCGCUCAACGGAUAAAAGUUACUCUAGGGAUAACA
rnacentral:rRNA from 1 species